rnacentral:rRNA from 1 species
AGGAACGCUGGCGGCGUGGAUUAGGCAUGCAAGUCGAACGGUAUCAUCCUUUCGGGGGUGAGAGAGUGGCGAACUGGUGAGUAACACGUAGGUUAUCUACCCUCAAGACGGGGACAACCCAGGGAAACUUGGGCUAAUACCGGAUGUGAGCAACUUUUAGUUGUUUGAAAGGUGGCGUAAGCUGUCGCUUGGGGAUGAGCCUGCGUCCUAUUAGUUAGUUGGUGAGGUAACGGCUCACCUAGGCAAUGAUAGGUAGGCGGCCUUAACGGGUGGUCGCCCACACUGGGAUUGAGAUACGGCCCAGACUCCUACGGGAGGCAGCAGUCGAGAAUAGUCUACAAUGGUCGGAAGACUGAUAGUGCGACGCCGCGUGAACGAUGAAUCCCUUCGGGGUGUAAAGUUCUUUUAUAUGUGAGCAGUGCUUCUUAUAUUAACAGUAUGGGGAGAGAGAUAUUAGCAUAUGAAUAAGCAACGGCUAACUCCGUG